rnacentral:rRNA from 1 species
AAUAAGCGGAGGAAAAGAAACCAACAGGGAUUGCCUCAGUAACGGCGAGUGAAGCGGCAACAGCUCAAAUUUGAAAGCUGGCCCCCCCCGGGGGUCCGCGUUGUAAUUUGUAGAGGAUGAUUCGGCGAGGGCUCCCGCCUAAGUCCCCUGGAACGGGGCGUCAUAGAGGGUGAGAAUCCCGUAUGCGGUGGGCUGCCUUAGCCAUGUGAAUCUCCUUCGACGAGUCGAGUUGUUUGGGAAUGCAGCUCUAAAUGGGAGGUAAAUUUCUUCUAAAGCUAAAUACCGGCCAGAGACCGAUAGCGCACAAGUAGAGUGAUCGAAAGAUGAAAAGCACUUUGGAAAGAGAGUUAAAAAGUACGUGAAAUUGUUGAAAGGGAAGCGCUUGCAGCCAGACUUGCCCGCAGUUGCUCAGCCGGUCUCCUGACCGGCGCACUCUUCUGCGGCCAGGCCAGCAUCAGUUCGGGCGGUCGGAUAAAGGCCCCGGGAACGUAGCUCCUCUCGGGGAGUGUUAUAGCCCGGGGUGGAAUGCGGCCAGCCUG